rnacentral:lncRNA from 1 species
AGAGGCCAACAGAGGGCAUCAGCUCCUGGAACAGGAAUUAUAGAUGAUUUUGGGUGGCUGUGUGGAUGCUUCAGAAACAAACCCAGGUCCUUGUCAAGGGCAGCCGCUGUCUUAACCUCUGAGCCAUCUUUCCAGACGCACGAACUUUUUCAUAAUAAAAUAAUUAUUAGAGCAUAAAAUGGGGCAUGGAGAAGGUUACCCAAUUAUACACUGAGCAAGCUUUCACAUGUAUUUAACUAUGAGCUUGGUGCCUUUGCUUAAAAUCUUACUUUAUUUUUUAAAAAAGUUUUUUUUCUUUAGUUUUAUUUGGUAAGUUUGAGCAUUUUGCCUACAUGUAUGUUUGUGUACCAUGUAUAGGCAAUGAACACAGAGGCCGGAAGAGUAUGCCAGAUCCUCUGGAAUUGGAGUUACAGAUAAUCAUGAGCUGCCACGUGGGGGCUGGGUAUUGAACCUGAAUCUUUUGCACGAGCAGCCAGUGCUGUUAACUGCCAAGUCAGCUCUUCGGACGCCAAACAAGUUUUGAACACUCAACAAAUUUAAAAGGAGAGCGCAUUUCAGUCUUAAAAGAGUUCGUGUAAAUCUGGUAAGUAAGUUAGUAAAGCAGGCAUGAGCUGAAACUUUCACAUCCAGAAGGAAACCGCUGCCCUCCCGGCUCAUACUGCGUCGUCUUAAAUUUAGCAAUAAAUAAAAGCUUACAAGCGGCCACCCAGAACGAAACCAUUUGUGCUCUGUUUUCGUUGCUGAGAGCACAAUGCUAUUCUUAUUUGUGUCUAAUCGUUGUGUGUUUCCAUUUUCUGUUUAAACACAACCAUCUGCGGUUCUGUGGUGAGUAUGGAUGUGGACCUCGCUCCCGGUACACUUGAACACGUCCAAGCCCUCAUGAACUUGAAAAGAACCCGAGUGGCUGUCCCACUUGUGCCCCGAGCUGGAGGGAACCAAGGCGCUGGGAGCUGGCAGAUUCAUGUCCACGUGGAAUAAGUAAUGAAAGCUCACCAAACUUAAGGUUUCGUAUCUCUUGGUAAAACUCCAGCAUGACAGCUGUUUAGAACCUGGAGUCAACAAACACGUGUCGGAGUGAUGCUCACCAACACUGUUUAAUGGUGCUGACACAUGGCACUAACACAAAGCAAAGAGGCUCUGUGAGUUUCACUCCUGGUUUUGAACGAUAUACAGAGAACACACCCUUUGGUUGCCAGCAUUCAGUAUUUCAGAUUUUACAUUUGUGUUCCUGAGAUGGAAGACUUUUCUAAAAACAAUAGAAGUCUGCUCCAAAUGCUUCCACCUCCAGAAUCUGCAUAUUGCCAACGCAUUUUCAAUGUUAUUUCUGCAGUAACCAGCUUCGAUAUGAAAGAAAAAUGGACUUCAUAAUGGCAGCCCUGUGUGUGUGUGUGUUGGGGGUGGGGCAAUGUCCCUUCAUACAUGUGCAUGCACGAACUGUAGCUAAUUAAAUGUGGUAAGAUUGUGGGUCAUGUUAAU